rnacentral:tRNA from 1 species
GUAGCGGUGGCAGAGUGGCCCAAUGCAUGGGAUUGCAAAUCCCAAAAACCGUGAGUUCAAAUCUCACCCGCUACUCCA